CAGCGGCUGUUUGGUGCGUGAUGUUCAUAAGGCGCAAUCCAAUUUUAUUGUACUAAUUUUUUUCCUAAUACGUAUAUUUGGCAAAUAAUGUAAAUAAAUUAAUUUGAUUAAAUUAAUUCGAUAUACCAAAGUGAUAAUUUGUGUAAUGUUUUCUCACAAAUAUUCUAAAAUAAUACAUUAAAAAAAUUGAAUUUCGUUUUCUUUGAUUGAUGUCCUAUGAAAAUUUGGGGAUUGUUAAGACAUAGUUAAUAAAUGAUUAUUGAGGACAUUUUUUACAUACUUCAUAAAAAAUGAAUUUUCUUUAUUUAUAUAUUCUUUAGCAGUCAUAAAGAAAUAAUCGUGCACAUGUUCCUGCACACUGGGUUAUCGCACGUAUCUCGGGUGACGUGAUGGUUACACAUUCUCCGGCGACUACAGCCUGUCACCUGUUCAGUCCGUGUCUGUGCGUUAAUCAAACACAGCGCAAUCCAUUUGUAAGCAGCUACAGUCGCUCCUUACUCACACACACACACAGACACACACACACACACACACACACACAUGACAGCGCAUCACGAGCGCCAGCAGCCCGAACGUGACAUAUGGCGAUGAACUUUUAUGCCAGUAAGAUAUCAGACGCAGCCCACGGCACGCGUUGCCAGCAAUCCGUGCUGCAAAAGUCGCGCGGUCAACGGGAUCGUGGCAGACACACACAUACAUAUGCAUAUCGGCAGCAUAUGCCUUGCCAUCUGUGCAAUUUAGACAGCACUGAGGCCGGAGCUAAAGAGCCAGCUCAAACUGCUGACUUAAACAUUCUCACGCCCAGCGACGACAGUCUGGAGCAGGCCAUUAGGCAAGGAAAUGAAUUAGGUCGAAGAGUGGAGCAGCUGAAUGAACACGAUUUGAAAUCAGAGCUACAGCAGCUACCAUUUGGGUCGAAGGUCACACGUCCACAAAUCCCCAUCGGCCGCCUGGGGCAAGGUAACAAACAAAUAAGACACACAAAUUGAUAGGAUUAGACGGCAAGAAGCGGCCCGUAGUCAAGCACAAGUCUGAUGAGUGGAAGGAACACAAGUCCUAAGGCUAAUGGUAGAUAGCUUAUGAGGCUAGACAGCCAAAACUAAUGGAGUCCCUAUUUGGACAAAUGACUAGCCAUUCGGCUAUCUUCUUACUGUUGAUGAUGUCUUCAAGUUUUGCUUGAUUUGCAGAAAUUUCUGUACUCAUUUGUAUUGUGGUCACGCUUAUUGCUGUUACCACAUAUUAUUGGAGUGUGUAAUUGAGAGCAAGAGUUAAAAACAAAUAUUAGCUGCGCUAUUAAAAGAUUAUCGUGUGCUGGAGAAUUGAGCAGCACAGCAAGACAGCGAAGCUGCGCCGAGGCGUGUGUUGGCAUUAUCUGCUGCCUUGUUGACAACAGCAAUUGGUCAGUAACAGGGCAAUAUUGAAGAAGUUGCUAGAGGCGCCAACCAGAGAUGUAGUGAAAGUCUAAAUAAGUUUACUAGAUUUUAAAUUCCUUAUAGGUAGAGUAAGCAAAGAAGUUCCUUACGUCAGUCGUGAGUUUUGACUACGUUAAUAAGCAAGUCUAGUUUUAAUCUUAAUAUAUACCCUUAAAAAAUAUUCAAUACUCCAGUACAAAUCUAUGCACAGCAAAAGCAAUCGAGAAAAUAUUUCAUAAAUACAAU